rnacentral:rRNA from 1 species
GAUGAACGCUGGCGGCGUGCCUAAUACAUGCAAGUCGAGCGAACAGACGAGGAGCUUGCUCCUCUGACGUUAGCGGCGGACGGGUGAGUAACACGUGGAUAACCUACCUAUAAGACUGGGAUAACUUCGGGAAACCGGAGCUAAUACCGGAUAAUAUAUUGAACCGCAUGGUUCAAUAGUGAAAGACGGUUUUGCUGUCACUUAUAGAUGGAUCCGCGCCGCAUUAGCUAGUUGGUAAGGUAACGGCUUACCAAGGCAACGAUGCGUAGCCGACCUGAGAGGGUGAUCGGCCACACUGGAACUGAGACACGGUCCAGACGCCUACGGGAGGCAGCAGUAGGGAAUCUGCCGCAAUGGGCGAAAGCCUGACGGAGCAACGCCGCGUGAGUGAUGAAGGUCUUCGGAUCGUAAAACUCUGUUAUUAGGGAAGAACAAAUGUGUAAGUAACUAUGCACGUCGUGACGGUACCUAAUCAGAAAGCCACGGCUAACUACGUG